GAUUCUUUAGAUCCUGGCAUCAGGUCUUGCUUAUUAAAAUCUUUCAACCUGCUUCACUUUGUCAGACUAAUUCUAUUUAAAUGACUUCCUGUUUCAAUAAGUCUCCCAGAAAACAUAAUUAAGUUUAGUUUAGUAAGUUAUGCUUUACUAUAUUUUGAACCCUGCAAUCAUGAAGGGCUCCAUCUUCAUUGCAAAGUUGCUGAAAACACAAUGGGUGAAUAAGCAAACAGUGGAGUGGUCAGCAUUGCACGGGCAGACUUCUAAAAGGGUCCAGAACCAAACAACUAAUUGACUGUUUUAUUUUUCAUUUGCAGGUUUCAUAAUGUAAUAUUCACAAUUAUGAUAAGGAAUUGCUCUUAUUUGCAGGGUAACUAGAAGAGGCUAAUUAUUUUGUAUAGAUCCCUUUUUAAGUGUGGCGUGUAUUUUAUAUGUGUGUGUCUUAGUUUUAUGCCCAUUAGUUUUUAAAUUGUUAUCAUUUUUUAAAUUGUAUUGUUUUUUCUGUAUUGCUUGUAUUUAUUUAUUUUUAUCUUUUUUUUAUCUUCAAUAACUGUUCAGCACUUUGUUUGAAAGUGCUUUAUACAUAAAGCCUUAAUAAAUAAAGUUAUCAUUAUUAUUAUUAGUAGUAGUAGUAGUAGUAUAUUGGUGUGGACAGAUUUGUAGUCCUAGGUCACCUCCACUCAGCCUUUGCUUGAAAUCCCUAAACUAAAUAAAACGAUAGUUGUGAAAUAAAAAAUAAAGCUUUUAUAUAUUUUAUAAAUCUUAAAUCUUACGUCUUGUGGCAGUAUUUUCGGGUCUAUGACAUAUCGUAAUUAUUACGAUUAUUACAAUAAUUUAUUCAACAGAAUAAGUUCUUAAAGUGCUCUGUCGCCCUCCGGCUUCAGCUCAGAUACGUUUACUCAGCUCUGCUGCCAUCUGGUGGUCAUUUUAGAUUUCUUCAUGAGCCAAGGUAGAGGCACGUGAUACGUGUUGUUUGACACUAACUGAAUCUGAUGAGGCAUGGCGCAUGGGCA
ensembl:lncRNA